AGUGAACGCUGGCGGUAGGCCUAACACAUGCAAGUCGAACGGCAGCACAGUAAGAGCUUGCUCUUACGGGUGGCGAGUGGCGGACGGGUGAGGAAUACAUCGGAAUCUACUUUUUUGUGGGGGAUAACGUAGGGAAACUUACGCUAAUACCGCAUACGACCUACGGGUGAAAGCAGGGGAUCUUCGGACCUUGCGCGAUUGAAUGAGCCGAUGUCGGAUUAGCUAGUUGGCGGGGUAAAGGCCCACCAAGGCGACGAUCCGUAGCUGGUCUGAGAGGAUGAUCAGCCUCACUGGAACUGAGACACGGUCCAGACUCCUACGGGAGGCAGCAGUGGGGAAUAUUGGACAAUGGGCGCAAGCCUGAUCCAGCCAUACCGCGUGGGUGAAGAAGGCCUUCGGGUUGUAAAGCCCUUUUGUUGGGAAAGAAAAGCAGCAGGUUAAUACCCCGCUGUUCUGACGGUACCCAAAGAAUAAGCACCGGCUAACUUCGUG
rnacentral:rRNA from 1 species